GAGUGGAUUCCAGAGUCAUUACAGAGACAACUGAAGAUGUGGAGAAGUUGUUGUUUAGUCCUCUGUGUGGUGUACAUGCUGCUGUCAUCAAUGGGAAUAGGUCAGCUCAUAGACCUAAUGCCACUGAAGACUUCAACAACGGAGUCAUUUUAACCAACCGCAUGCUACG
rnacentral:sRNA from 1 species